rnacentral:rRNA from 1 species
GACGAACGCUGGCGGCGUGCUUAACACAUGCAAGUCGAACGGAAAGGCCCUGCUUUUGUGGGGUGCUCGAGUGGCGAACGGGUGAGUAACACGUGAGUAACCUGCCCUUGACUUUGGGAUAACUUCAGGAAACUGGGGCUAAUACCGGAUAGGAGCUCCUGCUGCAUGGUGGGGGUUGGAAAGUUUCGGCGGUUGGGGAUGGUCUCGCGGCUUAUCAGCUGUUGGUGGGGUAGUGGCUUACCAAGGCUUUGACGGGUAGCCGGCCUGAGAGGGUGACCGGCCACAUUGGGACUGAGAUACGGCCCAGAAUCCUACGGGAGGCAGCAGUGGGGAAUAUUGCACAAUGGGCGGAAGCCUGAUGCAGCAACGCCGCGUGCGGGAUGACGGCCUUCGGGUUGUAAACCGCUUUCGCCUGUGACGAAGCGUGAGUGACGGUAAUGGGUAAAGAAGCACCGGCUAACUACGUG